rnacentral:misc_RNA from 1 species
CAGGACUCGCAAGACUCCUACAACCCUGUGAACUUAACUAUAAGCACGUUGCUUCGGCGGGUGUCUCGGCGAGGGUCCUCCCUCCCCGGGGCGCUAAGCCCGCCGGCAGCCUACUAUACCUCUGUCUCUUUGCGUUGGCAUCUCGAGUACAAUCAAACAAGUUA